UACGGAGGGUGCAAGCGUUGCUCGGAAUUAUUGGGCGUAAAGGGUUCGUAGGCGGUCUCAUUUGUCUGGGGUGAAAGCCUUGAGCUUAACUCAAGAAGUGCCCCAGAAACGGUGAGACUGGAGUCCUGGAGAGGGUCGUGGAAUUCCCGGUGUAGCGGUGAAAUGCGUAGAGAUCGGGAGGAACACCAGAGGCGAAGGCGGCGACCUGGACAGGUACUGACACUCAGCUGCGAAAGCGUGGGGAGCAAACAGG
rnacentral:rRNA from 1 species